rnacentral:lncRNA from 1 species
UCUUCAGAUUCUCCCUUCUCCUCCUCCUCCCUCUCUUCCUCUCUCCGGCUUUCGCUUCCGACUCAGAUCACAGGGUAAGCUUUUCCGAUUCCAUCGCUCGAUCCAUUUUCCCCUCAUUUCCUAUUAGAUCUACCUUUCAAUUUCGCUUUCGUUUUUUCAAUUUCGUUUCAAUUUUACCGAUAUUCUGUUAGAUCUCAGCUGCUUCCUCACUCCUCUCCGUUAUGCAUCUCUAAUAAUAAUUCACAUUUUCGUUUUCGAUGUUAUUGGAUUGCGAUUUCAGCUCUUCGCUGUUCUCUUAUUAACUCAUGAAUCAUGAUAUGCGCUCUGUUUGGAAUUCAAAGUAUUUAGGAUUCUUUUCGCUUCAUUGGACUCCGCAUUAAGUGAAUGUCAGAAACCCGUGCUGUUGAUGUUAGGGAUGCUUUGGUUUAGUUUUCAUACAUAAUCCGAACGUGCAAGCUUUAUAAUUGUUGCUUAUUCUCUGUUGUCAAUUAGUAUUGCAAAUGGUGAUUUCUUUUUGUCUGUCUACACUUGAAAAUUGCAACACCGGUGGUUUUGUAGUUUUCUCAUGUGUUUGUUUGGUUUUACUCCGCGUCAUCCAAUGUCACGCUGAAAUAUCAACUAAGUUGACUUGUGGUAUAUGUUCGCGUGUUUGAUUUUGCAUUGGAGAAUGAUCCGGGUUCGGAAUUGAUUUUAAGUUGAAACAAAUUUAUGUAGCUUUUUCCUUCGGAUCUUACUGGUGAUUUUCUUUUAGAAUAAAAUAUCCAAACCCAAAUCACUCCACUUCAAAAUCAAAUCGAAGUAAAUUCUAAUAUGCAGAAUCAAUUUCAUUUAGAAUAAUUUGCAAAUGCUCACCCAAACACCAAGAGAGUAUUUUGUUCUGUCUAUUAGCAAUUUCUUUUAGUAUUUUACGGCUGAAAUGAUGGACAUACCUAUCCAAUGGGAAUGUCCGGUUGAAAACUGUUUAGUGCAUUGGAGCUUCUGCCUCUCCGGACGUUAGGAGCUCGGGUAUUGGAGUCUUCCCUAUGGCAGAAGCUUGUCAAUGGUGGAUCGGAUUUUGACCCGAAGUAUUUUUGGUUUGUCAUAUUUGAGCUUUGUAUUGAACUCAUAAUAGAUCAAUCAAUGGUUACUACAUAGAUUUUCUUCUAAAUGUCUUUAAGCAUUUGAAUCAUUGUAUCACUGAAUCCGUCCUCAUUUCCUUAAGCUAGGAGUAAAGAUAAGAUAUGGUUCUCUUAUUUUUUUUAAACUUCCAGCCAUCAAUGGCUAUCUGUUUUAAACAUAUAUGGCAUUUUAUUGCAGUAUCAACCGGAGGAGAAAGUUAUGCUUUGGGUGAACAAAGUUGGUCCUUACAACAAUCCACAAGAAACGUACAAUUAUUACAGUCUACCCUUUUGCCGUCCACCUGGUCAUCCUGCACACAAAUGGGGUGGUCUUGGUGAGGUCCUGGGUGGCAAUGAACUCAUUGAUAGCCAACUUGAGAUAAAGUUCCUAGGUAUGGAGGCUUCUUUCAUCCUAUUUAUUUCGUAAGACCUAUCAGUAGACAAACUGUCUCUAACAGUUUUUUUUUUUUCAAAUUACAAGGAAAUGUGGAAAAGACCACCUUUUGUCGUCUGCAGCUUAACGAAGCAAACGUUAAACAGUUCAAGGAUGCAAUAGAGAAUAAUUACUGGUUUGAAUUCUUCAUGGGUAUGUUGCCAUGUUUCUUUCUUUCACAUAUUACUAUAUAAUUGUUAGAAUGAAUGUACUUCUAUAUAUAGUCAAGAAAUUCUAAACACUAGCAACAAUUUUUUUGUAUUUGUCCAUUGCAUAAGCUAAAGCGGCUGGGUUAAAUAAUAUCUGGCACAAUAUACCCCUUCUCAACUUUUGUAACUGGUAAGGUACAGCCUUCAAACCAAUUUCAGGGAAAUUGCCACUUGAAGUUGCCAACAAUAGAUUUAGUUGUUAAAAGUUAAAACCAUACAGUCAACAUUGAGUUUGACAGUCUGAGAAGCCUAGCUCCAUGGUGGCAGGGAAGGGAAGCUUUCAGCUGGUGGUUUAGAUUAAGUUAUUGCAUGCAUGCUUUAGUCUCAGCUGAAAAUGAUUUAUCAUGAUUCCUUUAAAAUUGAAGAAUAGAUUUAACUUACAACUUUCUCUGUAACUGUUGUGGUAUUGUGAUGUUAUCAAAAUCCUUUCUCUAAUUCUAAAAGUAACGGGCAUUUAUAUUAAGUAUUUUUUCUUUUACAUUCAUGGAGAAUUAUUCAUGAAUCGUGACUAGUUACAACAUUUCAUUGUGUGGGAAUAUAAAUUAUAAUGUAUAAACAAUGAAGCAUAUAUUUUAUAUAUUAUACAUCGUGACACAUUGACUGAAUUUGGAAUGCUUGACCCUGGAAGAGCAGUGCCCUGCUCUAUUUUGAUCCUUCUAUAACUACAACCACAGUCUUUUAGGCUGGGUGUUAUGUGCAUACUUAUGGAAGCUGAAAGAAGGAUAAAGUUAAGAAUUCUUUUUCUGAAGUUGCUGUUUAAGCAUUCUUGACUGGACUGAUAUUAUAAUCUCCUGAAGUAAAAUCGGGUAAGGGAAUCUUGGUGUGGUACAGCUCCUCCUAUGAUAUUGUGGGGUCUAGGGAUGGUUUUCCCCUGCUCUGUAUAGGUUUAUAGUAGGCAGCUUUAACUUGCACUUGCGAAAGGCUGAUUCCCAUGACUUGAACAUGUAUCAAUGCCUCAACCAUAGCAAGGAGGCCCUUCCUAAAAAACUGUGUUUAAAUUUAUAAACUAAGUAUUUUUCAAUUGAGAAUGUUAGGCAAUUGAUAUUAUAUUGUCUUGAUAGGUUUAAUGGUGAGUGAGGAUUUGUUCCAUGGACUGCCCCAUAUUUGUUUUCGUUUUUUAUUCAUAAUUUUUAAAAUUUUCUGAAUAACUUACUCUUGGCAUUCUUUCUUUCCUUGGUUGUGCUAUUUGUUGGUCGUGGAUGUGCUAAACACAAGCUCAGAUGAUCUUCCAUUGUGGGGUAUGCCUACUUUCUCUCUAUUUAAUUUAUCAUUUCAUUGGUUGAUCAUUGUAUAAGAUUCUUUUAUUCAUGUUUAAGGGUAUGUUGGGGAGCUACAUCCUGAUAAGAACAGUGAUAAUGGCAAGCAUGUACUUUAUGCUCACAAGAACAUCAAUAUUCAAUACAAUAAAGACCAGGUCAGAAGUUAUUUAUGUAUCUUUGCUAUCUUUUGCUGCUUUGGGAUUUAUGGAGUGCAUACUUAGGUUCAUUUACUGCAGAUCAUUCAUGUUAAUCUAACUCAUGACAACCCAAGGCCUCUGGAAGUAGGAAAAACUUUGGACUUGACAUAUUCUGUGAAAUGGACUCCUACGAAUGUCACUUUUGCACGCCGAUUUGAUGUAUACUUGGACUAUCCAUUCUUUGAGCAUCAGGUGAAAAUAAUUGCUGCUAGCUUUGUAUUUAGAUUGCAGAUGUAUUAUUGUUGAUUGCCUGCUAUGUGUUAUGCGUAUCUAUCUUAGCCAUGUCACUGAGAGAACUUUGAUCCUUUUUCUUUCUGUAGAUUCACUGGUUCUCUAUUUUUAAUUCUUUUAUGAUGGUCAUCUUCCUUACUGGAUUGGUGUCAAUGAUAUUAAUGCGAACUUUGAGAAAUGACUAUGCAAAGUAUGCUCGGGAAGAUGAUGAUUUGGAAACUUUGGUAAGGCAUUCUUGAUGUUUGUCUUUUACUACUACUAUUUCUGUUAUUAUUUUUUAAAACAUGCAGAACAUAGAUUUGGCUUUCCUGGAAAAUUCAUUUCGGUUCUGAUUGUUAAUUCUUGUUCAACUCCCAAAUACUUCCAGGAAAGAGAUGUUAGUGAAGAAUCUGGGUGGAAACUCGUGCAUGGUGAUGUUUUUAGGCCUCCUCGCAGUUUGGUCAUUCUUUCAGCUGUUGUUGGUACAGGCGCCCAGCUUGCAUUGCUGGUUUUCCUCGUCAUCUUGUUGGCUAUUAUUGGGAUGUUGUAUGUUGGGUAAGUCCAUUAAACUGACUGUAGUAUUGAUCUGAACAAUGAUUUCGUUCACAAUAGUGUGAUUGGUUAAAAAAUGGAAUUAAAUGCUAUAUCAUAUAUGCAUAUAUUAUUUUCUGCUUAUACAUCUCUCCUGUAUAACUGGACAUUCCUUUAGUUUUCCCCCUGACUAUAAUUUUUGUCCACUUCAUCUCCCUUCAUUAUUAUGUAAGGUUCCUUCAAUGUGCAGACGAGGAGCCAUCGUCACUACCUUCAUUGUAUGCUAUGCUCUCACAUCUUUCAUUUCUGGUUAUGUGAGUGGGGGGAUGUACUCACGAAAUGGGGGUAAGGAUUUGCAGUAAAUUAUGCUACAUGUUCACUUCAUGCUUUUGUUGCCUCUUUCUCUCUCCAUGAACGAUUAUAACUGUGUCAUUUUCAGGUAAAAGUUGGAUUAAGUCCAUGAUCCUUACAGCAUCACUGUUCCCAUUCAUGUGCUUUGGAAUUGGUUUUAUUUUAAACACAGUUGCUAUAUUCUAUGGAUCACUAGCUGCAAUCCCCUUUGGUACUAUGGUUGUUGUCUUUGUUAUAUGGGCCUUUAUCUCUUUCCCUCUAGCACUUCUUGGUACAGUUGUUGGAAGAAACUGGAGUGGUGCUCCAAAUAAUCCAUGUCGUGUGAAGACCAUUCCUCGUCCCAUUCCUGAGAAAAAGUGGUACCUCACACCAUCUGUAGUUUCUCUGAUGGGAGGACUGCUUCCCUUUGGCAGCAUAUUCAUCGAGAUGUAUUUUGUAUUCACUUCCUUCUGGAAUUACAAGGUGAAUUAAAAUGCAAUUACUUGUUUGGGCAGUGAGCAUUUUAUUUUCCCUUCCUUGGUUUGGCAUAAUGUUAUUUCUUUAGAACAAUAUUUCUAUAUGUUGUCUUUCAAGUGGUAACACUUAAUAUUCCUGUGAUAGUUGAGUAAAUACAAGCUUUGUUUCUUACGCGUUUUUCCCCUUCCACUUUGACAAACAGGUGUACUAUGUAUAUGGUUUCAUGCUACUGGUUUUUCUGAUUCUUAUCAUUGUUACUGUUUGUGUGACAAUUGUGGGGACAUACUUUUUGUUAAACGCUGAGAACUACCACUGGCAAUGGACCUCUUUCUUUUCAGCUGCCUCAACAGCUGUUUACGUGUAUUUGUACUCAGUAUACUACUACUUUGUGAAGACGAAGAUGUCAGGCUUCUUCCAAACCAGCUUUUAUUUUGGAUACACUUUGAUGUUUUGUCUUGGACUGGGAAUUCUCUGUGGUAAGUCUCCAGUUUAAUUGUAAUUUAUGUUUGGAUUGUGUGUUCACUCUUUGGAAACUAGAUAGCUUGGUUAUGUUCUGAAUACCUCUUAUUAUAUAGAUAUAAAAGCUAGUGUGUUCUUAUCGCCUGAGCUGGAUUAAAUUUUUUUCUCCAAAUGUGCAGGAGCUGUAGGUUAUCUUGGUUCGAAUUUAUUUGUGAGGAGGAUCUACAGAAACAUCAAGUGUGACUAAGGGUCCUAGAAGUCUGAGACCAGAGCACUUCCACAUGUUUGUUGCUAGACACAAUAAAUUUCUUCGAGGAGGUCUCUGGUCAUGUGUGGGGACCAAGCAGUGUUUACAGGUAGUAAGUAUCACAGGGUUGAGGAUGGGAUGUAUUCUUUCUCUAUAUUAGGGGAUGUAUUCUUUCUCUAUGGUAGGGAAGCCCUGAGAUUUUUUUCCCUGACUGUGAUUGAAAGCCUUGAUUAGUAGAAUGCAGGGAUUGGUCUUUAUAAUUUAGAUAGUUAGCAAAAUAUCAGACUCGUUGCUACUUCUUUUCGUCCUUCUAUAAAUAGGUGCCAUAUUGACGGACUGAUGUCGGAUUCCCCUACACGGUUUAGCUAUUGUACGUAGAGGGGAUGAAGUCACGGAAAUGAAUUUUGUGCUUCUGAAUUUUGUAUCAAAUAUGAAUAUCCUUUCUAACUAUUUCCUGCCUCCACAUUUCUCCUUCUUUGGCUUUUAAAUCAUUGACGUUUUCCCCCUCUCCAAUCCAAUGCUUGUUAGGCUGCAUACAUUUCUGCCUCUAUCACCAUGUUAACCAUGAAUAAAUGAGAUCAACAUUCUGUUCAGCAGCUGCAUACUCGCUUUGUUUUACUAAUUUUCUGUUUCUUUUAGAACUUGUGGUUGUAAAAUGCAGCACAGCAAGGGUAAAAAUAUUCAGUGCGACUGGAGUUUCAAAAUUGAGUAUGAAUGAAAUUGAUUUUGGAUUGAAAUUAUGUGUCUUUAGAUAUUUAAUUUUAAAAAUAAGUUAGUAGUAAAAAAUUAAUAUAUAUAUAUAUAUAUAUUUAUCCAAUGGAAAAGUUAUUUAAAGUUGUUUUCAACUCAAUGUGGUUUCACCUAAUUUAGCGUGAAUUAGAAAAUACUCGAUGGCUUGUGUAUUCAAAUUCAAAUGUGUUAGAUUUCUCUCUCUUUCUAAAUACAAAUUUUAAUAGUUAUAUGGAAAAGAGAAUUUUAAGUUUAAAUCAAUUUUAUAAAAUCUAUCGGUGAGGUUUGCAAUCACUCAUAUACUAUGAAAUGUUCUAAUUUAUAGUUGAGAUGAGAUCUCCGAGAUAUUCUCCUUACGUCGAGAGUUGAGGUUUGCAAUCACUCAUAUACUAUGAAAUGUUCUAAUUUAUAGUUGAGAUGAGAUCUCCGAGAUAUUCUCCUUACGUCGAGAGUGACAACUCGUGGUCCAACAAACUUUUGUUAUAAUAGAUUCAAAAUGAACAAACUUUUGUUAUAAUAGAUUCAAAAUGAUUUUGAUACCAUAUUAAGAAGUAAAUUUUUAAGUAUAAUUCAAUUUUAUAAAAUUAACAUAUGAAGUGAGAUUUACACCCACUUUUUUUUUGUUUUGCACUUUUUAUAUACUAUGAAAUGUUUUAAUAUUUAGGAUGUGAGAUGUCUAAGCAUAAUAGCCAACAUUAGUGGUUAAGUAGCAUUGCAAGCAAUUUUGUGGUCAUUCCUUGGCCCGUAAAAGUGAACAUAAAGCAAAACAUUCAUUGAAAAGAUAGAAAAGUAUAAUUUGUGAGGUGAGGAUAAUGGCAACUACCAUCGUCAACAACGAGUGGUGGUGAUAAAGAUAAGAUAGAUUGAGGCAUGAAACAGAGCCACGUGGCCGAUAGGUAGCAUAUCAGCUAACGUUGGUGCUCGUUGCAGCCACACUAUUUCCACAAGCUCUCUCCUUCUUUCUUUUUAUCAUCAAGAACAAGCACCAUCACAAGUUCCUAAACUAGCCUUCUACUCAUCAACUCAACCAAGGACAUGGCAUCCAUCAUACCCGCUUCCUGUGGCUCUGUGUUGAACACCUCCUUCCUCAGGAAGCAGCCUCUGAACCACACAAGCCUCAAGGCAUUCUCCAACGCCAACGCCGUCUUUGGUGUGAAAGGAGGACGUGGAGGCCGUGUGACAGCCAUGGCGAGCUACAAGGUGAAGCUUGUGACCCCAAGUGGAGAGCAAGAGUUCAGUUGCCCAGAUGAUGCAUACAUUCUUGAUGCUGCAGAGGAAGAAGGCAUUGACCUUCCUUACUCAUGCAGGGCUGGUUCUUGCUCUUCAUGUGCUGGCAAAGUUGUGGGUGGCCAAGUGGACCAGUCUGAUGGUAACUUCCUUGAUGACGACCAAAUUGAGCAAGGCUUUGUUCUCACCUGCGUUGCUUAUCCCACUUCUGAUGUUGUUAUUGUCACUCACAAGGAGGAGGAGCUCGUUGCUUAAAUCUUGUCAUCACUUUCCUUUCCCACUUCUGAUGAUGUAUGCUGCUUUUUCUUUUUAUGUCUUGUGCCAUUUCUCAGGAUAUACACACCCAUUAUUAUUAUUAUGCAGUAAUUGAUUACUUCACCUGUAGCAGCAGCUGAACUUGUUUUUGUCACUAUAAUAAUCUUUUCUUUACAGUUUUUGCACUCCUUUCCUCUUUCCUCGGCUUCAAUAAUUGAUUACCCUUUUAUGCAUUACAUAUAUACUAUCUAAAUUUGUGUGCUUUCUGCAUUGAUUUUCAUCCUUCUGUCACAUUGGAGUUAACAAUGAUGAGGGUAACUUGCAUCUUACCAAGAAAUAUUGAUGUUAGACUCAAAAAAAACCCACACAAGACUAAAAAAAAACACUAAAUGAUAAUUAGAACAAGUUUUUAGUUUCUUUUUAGUAUUUGUGUGAGUUUUUUUUUUUGAGAGGUUAACAUCAAUCAACGACGGUGGCUUCUUGUUCUUAACUUGGUACUGAAGAUGGUGUUAAUGUCCUGAGACUAAUUGUAUGGCCAACUUUUUUUUACUUUUGUAUCACUUAAAAGAGAUAACAUAUUUAAUUGUAUCUACAGUACAAGGUACAUUUUUCAUUCUCAACUACUUUGUGUCGGUGCCAAAACAUUGAUUUAAGAAUGAUUUCUAUAUCUAUGCCAUGAAGAGUAGUAAAACUUCAAAUAUGAAACAUAAAUGGAUGAUGUCUUCUGUAGCACAUACUUAUGCUUCUCUCCUUCGCCAUUGAAGGACAGUUUUGGGGGAGAGUGAUUGUAUUCGUCUGUAAGUCUUGAGUCAAUAUUUAACAAAGAAAUUGAGAUGAAAAUUCUGGCAAUGCUAAAAUAUCUGUUGGGUAUGGAUUCAAACCUUAAUUAGGAGCAUUGCUUCUGUGAGAAUUCUGCUGUGAACAUGGAGAUGUUACAAAAUUUAUGACCACAAAUUGGAGCUUGUCAUUCUAUCCUUCUUAACAUUUCAAAGGGUGUGGUUGACAAUGCUAUGAUUCAAUGUUUCGAUAUGGUUAUGGAUUACUUCCAAGUCAUACUCUGUUUUUUUCUCUUAUUCAGACUGGUGUCUUGACUCUUUGGUUUGUAUGAGAUUGAUUAAUUGAUGAAUUACUAUGUUGAGGUUUGUCAUGUGUUCUAUGAGUUGUUAGUUGGAGGUUUUUUGGUGUCUUGUUUUGAGAAAGGUUAAGGUUUAUUUUUCUUUAUAAAGAUUGAACUAUCCUGAAAUAGAGAUGUUAAUGUUUAUUUUUCUGUAUAAAAGUUGAACCAUUUGAAUAGUUCAUAUUUAUUUUCUUGUCGAUAAAAAAAAAUAGCAGUUAAAUACUAUACCAAAGUUUUACACAUGAAUAUACACCAAUAAAAAAAAUAAACAGUUUUUCAUUGGUCAAUUAACAAAUUAAAUAAUUAUAAAAAACAAAGGACUGCGUAAAAUGAAAUUCAACCAUGCAAUUCUGAGUGGAAGUUUUGACUGAAUAAUUCGAAAAAACUAGCAUUUUUCAAUUUAUAACCACGGUUGCAUCUCAUGUAAUAGUAAUAUUCAUAAGCAAAAGAAAUAGAAGUGCAUAACCUACUCUCUGAGAGGGCCUGGAGAGGGUGCUCUUGGAACAAAGUUUUGUAACUAUUGAAGAGCCAUUGAAAUAUGCUACUGUUCUGACCUCAAGUCAGUUGGACAGCAUCGCUAGGGUCAAUCACCGCAUCCGAGGUAUUGUCCGCUUUGAAGGUUGGUGCUCCGUCACGGUUUUGUCCUUAAAAGAUGUCUCAAAGGGUGAAGGGAGGAGGGAGUAUAUAAACUGCCCUUGACCUCGAUUCCUGAGCGAUGUAAGAUUGUAUUGGCAGCCUCGAUUGUGAAGAAUCUGUGGAGAUAACAUAGGCACACAGAAUGAAACAUGGUACAAAAUGUUUAGAUGUUCUUUUUAAGAGGAGAUCUAGUCACAACAAUGAUGGUAAAUGUUGAGUUCAUUAAAUAUAUAACAGUUUUGCAAAGAAAAGAAGGUAGCAUGUGAAGUGAAGAAGAUGAAGAAUGUUACAAAAAUGUAUGGUGAAGGGAAGAUGAAUAGACUUGGUAGCAUUCAACCUCCACAUCUUAUUGCACUUUCAAUGCAUUCAAUUACUUCCUCUACCAUAAAUCCAAUUUCAGUAUAAAAAGAUGAAAAUGUUUUUAGAUAAAAUGAAGGUAAUUAUAAAAAUACAUUUAAGAUUUACUUUUUUGGACAAAUAUCUGGAAUGAAAUUUUGAUUUUAUUUUCGAAUUUUUAUUUCUAGAACACAAUAACCUCUUCUAGAUCUAUUUUUUAAAAUAUAUUGUUUUCAAUUCUAGAUUUUUAUUUCGAGAAUGAAGGACAUUUUAAAAAAUUUAAAAUUGUGUAGGGUGCAAAUUUAAAAUGAUUGAGUGUAUGAAGAAUUUGUCUUUAUCAUAGUUCCCACUAUGUUAACCAACACAAUUGCUUGCUGAAAAUUUUCCUCACUUCGUUUUCUUUACAUUUCGACCUUAUGCAGCCUCAAACGUUAAUUUCAAAAGAAAAAUGAUAGUUUGACAACUCUUAAAGUUGUAUACAACUCUUGAUGUGAUAGGUUUAGAAAUAAAUAUAUAUAAUAAAGGAUAAAUUUAUAAUUAAAUGAUAUAAAAAAGUAUUAAAAAUAAUAGUAUUGGAAGUUGUAAUGUGGUUGUAUAAAAAUUUGAAGUUGUUAAUGUAUCAUUACCCAUUUCAAGAAUACAACUUAAACUCAAAAUUACAAAUAAUGGCAUUACAUUAUGCACCCCAUAGUUUCCCAUAAUUUGAAGGUGCAACCAUGGGCAAGAUAAAAAGACAAAAGUAUCCCUACUUUGGAUUUAUAAAAUGCAUAUUAUACACUCUACAAUUCGAAAUGCAUUUUCAAAUUUGGAAAUAUAUUUCUGAAUUUUGCAUUGUUGAAUGUAUUUUUAGAUUCAAAAAUAUAUUUUUGAUAAUUCAAAAUGCAUAUUUUAUUUUGUAUUAUGAAAUACAUUAAUACUAAAAAUAAGGGAAGUUUGAAAAUUUAAAAUCUAUGGAGGUGUAUGCUAAAAUUAUGGGUUAGCCUACAAAUAAUGGGCCAUUGGAUCCGGGUUGCUUCUUCCUGCACCUCCAUACCUUCUUCUCUCACCUCCAUAGAUUUUCGUAUUUCCAAAACUGCUCUUCUGUAAUAUUUCGGAUUACAUAAUUCGGAAGUUAUUUUUCAAAUUUGUAAUUAGCUUUCGGAUUAUAUAAUCUGAAAGUCUUUUUUCAGAUGCAUGAUUACUUUCCGGAUUACAUAAUCUGGAAGUUUUUUUUAACUUCUGGAUUAUGUAAUCCAGAAGUCUUUUUUCAAAUGUGUUUCCGGAUUACAUAAUCCAGAAGUUAUUUUAUGGGGGUGGCACAAGAAGGAUAAAAAUGUAUUUUUCAUGUUGUGUAUGGAGGUGCCAGAAGAAGAUAUGGAGGUGCAGGAAGAAACAGUCUUGGAUCCGAGUCAAACUUUUUAUCUAUACUUUAUUAUAAGGGCUUUUUCUUCUUACACUUCUUAAUUAAUAAUUGCAUCUCAUACUAUGACAAAAAGGCCAAAAUACCCUCCAUUGCUCCACCAUGUCGUCGUCGUUGCAGCUCUAUCUACACUUCCAUGACGAGUUUUUAAUAUCUUUUAGAUUAAAAAUAAUAUAUGAUUUAUAUUCAUUACCACUUGCAUUAAUUUAUAUGUAAGAUUAAUGUUAACUUAAAUAAAUAUUAAAAAGAUAUUAUAUUAAUAUUAAUAAUUACGAAAUUUAAAAAUUAGAACGUAUUUAAUAUUAUUAGUGUUGGUUAAGUUAACUUUAAUGUCUUUCUUUAAAAUAUUAUUAUUACUAAAAAAAUAUAUUUAAUAUUAUUAGAGUCGAUCUUAAUAUUUUUUUAACAUAUUUUUCAUUACUAAAAUAUAUUUGAUAUUAUUAUAGUCGGUUAUCUUUAUUUUAGUAUUAAAAUAUAUUUAGUAUUAUUAGUAAAUUGUCUGUGUUUACCAAGUAUUAACAAAAGUAUGAAAUAUAAAAAAAAAAUGCGAUAUAUAAUUAAAAGAAUAUUUACAGGUUUUUAUUGUUAAUUAAAAAUCAAAACCUUCUUAAAUCACUUCCCAACAAGAGAUCUUACAAAGGACUGUUUCUUCCUGCACCUCCAUGCCUUCUUCUCUCACCUCCAUAUAUUUUCAAAUUUCCAAAAAUGCCCUUCUAUACUAUUUUGAAUUACGUAAUCCGGAAGUCAUUUUUUAAAUUUGUAAUUAGUUUCUGGAUUACAUAAUCUAGAAGUCUUUUUUCAUAUGCAUGAUUAAUUUUCGAAUUACAUAAUCCGAAAGUCUUAUUUAGCUUCCAGAUUAUAUAAUCUGGAAGUUUUUUUUCAAAUGAAUUUCUGGAUUACAUAAUCCGAAAACUACUAUAUGGGGGUGACAUAAGAAGAAUAAAAAUAUAUUUUCAUGUUAUGUAUGGAAGUGGCAGAAGAAAAGAAGAUAUGGAGGUGAGAAACAGUCCUUACAAAGACUUUCAACACACUCUAUUCCAAUUACAUAUGCACCGUACACGUGGCGCUACUUUCACAACAGUCACAGAUGAAUGUGUAAGAAAUAUCUUGCACAGGAUAAAUCUUAACCACUCAUCAUAGUCUCCUCUUAUUAAAACGUGUUACAUGUGUUUUUAUUAAGGAAAAUGAUUGCUUAACACUCACUUCAUCUAAUCCCACUAAAUAUUAAUAUUUUAAUUUUUUUAAUUUUUUAAUUUUAAUUUUUUUUAACAUUUUAUAUUUUUAUUAAAGACAUUCCUUUAUUUUUAUAAUUUAUUUUAUUAUAAAUAUUAAUAUUUUAUUGCAGUGGAAAUUGGAGUAAGGUGUCUACGAAUAAUACGGAGACACGUGGCAGAUAAGGUUGUACGUGACUUCACAUCAUUUUGUGAUCAGACAAUGCUAGUUCAAAAAGCUCCUUGGUUUGGCUUAUCUAUAAAACAGAAGAAGAAGAAGAAGAAGCAGCAGAAGAAGAAGAAGAAGAAGAAGAAGAGGAGGAGAAUGGCGUGUAUGACAGUAGCUAUGUGUGGCCCUGCCUUGAACACCUCCUUCCUUAGGAGACAUGCAGUGAGUCUGAAUGCAUUCCCCAAGGCCAAUGCAGUGUUUGGUGUGAAAGGAGGAGGUGGAGGUCGUGUCACUGCCAUGGCUAAACACAAGGUGAAGCUUAUCACCCCAGAGGGUGAAAAAACCUUUGUCUGCUCAGAUGAAACCUUCAUUCUUGAUGCUGCAGAAGAAGUAGGCCUUGACCUUCCCUACUCAUGCAGGGCUGGUGCCUGCUCUUCCUGUCUUGGCAAAGUUGUGAAUGGCCAAGUGGACCAGUCAGAGGGUAGCUACCUAGAUGACGAUCAAAUCGAUCAAGGAUAUGUUCUUACAUGUAUUGCUUACCCCACCUCUGAUGUUGUUAUCCAGACCCACAAGGAGGACGAACUCGUUGGAUAAAUCUCCCUUUCCCACCAUUUUCUUAGAAUAUGCUUCUUUUGUUUCAAAUGUGAUGGAGGAGGAAGAUUGUUAUUGCAUGAUCAAGGUAUUUUAGUUUUGUUUUAUGCUGUUAGUUAGACUAUAGAGAAUGAACUCCACCUUCAGAAUCUCAUCAAACUUUUUAUUAUGUGUUGGUUAUUGGUUCAGGGAAUUUGUAGUCACUGUAGUAAUGUUUUCCUUGUUGGUUGAGUUAAGAACUCUGAUGUUAGUUGCUUGUUCUGAAUUCAUGCUGAUCUUAAUGGUGACUUUGAUUCUUAUCUGCACCAUUUUAGAUCUUUUGGGUUGUUGGAAGCUAAGAGUCAUGCACAAUGGAGGGUCUAACUACACCUAAAAUUCAUAUAAGAUUAGAAAAUAAGUUAGUUUACAAACUCAAAUUCUACUCUGAUUCUGAGAAGAGUUUCUGAGGCAUUAUAUGAUAUAAAACAUUACAAUUGAUUUCUCUGUCUGAAUAAAAGAAAUUAUUUGAUAGUAAACAAAUAGGAUUAAACUGUAUUAACUUUAAGUUUAAUUCAACUUCAUAAAAUCGAUUUAUGAGGUGAGAUUUUAUAAGGUGAGGUAUCGAAAAUGAUUAUGAUACUAUAUUAAAGAGUGGACAUUAAAGAGCGAACUUCAAGCUUAACUCAACUUUUCGCUUCCACUUAUAAAGAAUGAAAUGUACUGUUGUUGGAGAUCUCUACUUGAAGAUGCUGGCUUAUGGUUUGAAGCCAUUUCUCUGAUGUAGUUAAAGAAAUUUAGUAUAAGGUAAUAAGAUAGAAGAAGAAAGCUAGGAUUGUCACACUUCAUUCAUUCAUCAAACACAGGAGAUGGAAAUGAGUUUUUAGAUUGAGUUGUCUCCUUUUAAGAAAGAUGUUUUCAUUUUGCAGUAAAAAUGUCCCACAAAUUUUUCAAGAAUUUUACACAAGGACUACUGUGUGAUCAAUACAAAGAAACAGUUUUUAUGGGCUAAUUACUGAAUCAAACAUGGUACAAAAUGUUUAGAUGUUCUUUUUAAGAGGAGAUCUAGUGGCAACAAUGAUGGUGAAUAUUGAGUUCAUUAAAUAUAUAACAGUUUUGCAAAGAAAAGAAAGUAGCAUGUGAAGUGAAGAAGAUGAAUGCUACAUAAAUGUAUGGUGAAGGGAAAGAUGAAUAGGCUUGGUAGCAUUCAACCUCCACAUGUUAUUGCACUUUAUUGGAUGAAUCUUUUGCAUUCAAUCCAUUAAUUGCAGGCAAUUACUUCCUCCAACUAAUUUCAGUAUGAAAAGACGAAAAUAUUCUUAGAUAAAAUGAAGGUAUAUAUAAAAAUACAUUUCGGAUUCACUUUUUUAGAAAGAACAAAUUUUUUGUAUUAGGGAUUUUUUUUAUCUGUAACGAAAUUUUGAUUUUAUAUUUUCGGAUUUUAUUUUUGGAGCACAAUAAUCUUUUCUGGAUUAUUUUUUCAGAAUACAUCGUUUUUAAUUCUGGAAUUUUAUUUUCAGAACAAAGGAUAUUUUCAAAAUUUUAAAUUUGUAUAGGGUAUAAGUUAAAAAUGAUUGAGUGUAUGAAGAAUUGGGCUUAAUUGUAUCACAGUUCCCACUAUGUUAACCAACACAAUUGCUUGCUGAAAAUUGUAUCAUAGUUUGAACACAAUUCACAAUUCCAAAUCCUAAAUCCUAAACCAACACAAUUCACAAUUCUAAAUGUAUUUUCAAAUUUGGAAAUAUAUUCUGAAUUAUACAAAAUAAAAUAAAAUAGAUUAAUGUAUUAUGAAUUAUGCAAUUGAAUGUAUUUCUAGAUUCAAAAAUAUAUUUUAAGAAUUCAAAAUGCAUAUUUUAUUUGGUAUUAUGAAAUACAUUCUAGAAUACUAAAAAUAAACAUCCUAAACUAUGGAGGUGCAGGCUAAAAUUACGGGUUAGCCUAUAAAUAAAUAAUGGGCCAUUGGAUCCAAGUCAAAAUUUUAUUUAUACUUUAUUAUAAGGGCUUUUUCUUCUUACACUUCUUAAUUAAUAAUUGCAUCCCAUACUAAGACAAAAAAGGGAGAUAAUUAUUUCAGAAAACUCGUCAUGAAAAUUAUUAUAUAUGUUUUCGAAAUCUUUGUUCCAUAAAUCCUGUUACAGGAUGUUCGGGAAAGUUUAUUUUUGGAAAAAGUUUAUUCCAAAAUACAUUUUAUAUACUAUUAUGAAUGUGAAUAUUUAUUGUUUAAAUCAUAAGGUUUUAGAUUAAAAAUAAUAUAUGAUUUAUAUUCAUUAUUACUUGCAUUAAUUUAUAUGUAAGAUUAAUAUUAACUUAAACAAAUAUUAAAAAUAUAUUAUAUUAACAUUAGGGAUUACGAAAUUUAAAAAUUAAAACAUAUUUAAUAUUAUUAUAAUUGGUUAAGUUAACUUUAAUAUUUUUCUUUAAAAUAUUAUUAUUAUUAAAAAUAUAUUUGAUAUUAUUAUAGUCGGGUCAAGUAUAAUAUCUUUAUUUUAGUAUUAAAAUAUAUUUAAUAUUAUUAGUAAAUUGUUUGUGUUUAACAAGUAUUAAAAAAAAUAUAAAAUAUAAAAAAAUGCGAUAUUAAAUAACGUGUUACAGACGUAUUACACACCGAUACUCUCGUAGGAUGUCUCUCAUUCAAGUGUCAAAUUCAAAAAAUAUUUGUUGAAUUUCUAACAAUUCUAGCAUGAUUUUAACACAAUUUUUUUAAAAAUAUAAUUUUUUAAAAAUUUAAACUUAUUAUAUAAAUUUUUAUUGUAAUUAUAAAAAUAAAAACCAAAUACUUUUGAAUGAGCUAUGAAAAAAACAUGUUUUUUUAAAAUAAAAAUAAAAAUAAUUGUACAUAUAAAUAUUUAUUAAUAAAUAGGUUAUCGAGGUUUCAUUCUUAGAUGGUAACACCUUAAAUAUGUUGCAAAUAAUGAAAUUUGACAAGUUAUAAUUUUGUAAAUAAGAAAUAAAUUAAAAAAGAAAAUUAAAUUUAUAAUAAAUCUUACACACACAAAAAAUAGUGAAUAUAAUGAGAGAUAGAAUGAUGCCACGUGGCAGAUAGGGUUGCAUGUGGCCUUACCUCAUGCACGUUAUAAGCACACUAUUUCUUCAAGCUCAUGCUCCCAUUUGUUAUCCAUCACCAACAACAACAACAACAAGCUUGCAGUGACCAAUGGCUUCGAUCACACCCGCUUCCUGUGGCUCUGUGUUGAACACCUCCUUCCUCAGGAAGCAGCCUCUGAACCACACAAGCCUCAAGGCAUUCUCCAAUGCUAAUGCUGUCUUUGGUGUGAAAGGAGGACGUGGAGGUCGUGUGACAGCCAUGGCCAGCUACAAGGUGAAGCUUGUGACCCCAAGUGGAGAGCAAGAGUUCAGUUGCCCAGAUGAUGCAUACAUUCUUGAUGCUGCAGAGGAAGAAGGCAUUGACCUUCCUUACUCAUGCAGGGCUGGUUCUUGCUCUUCAUGUGCUGGCAAAGUUGUGGGUGGCCAAGUGGACCAGUCUGAUGGUAACUUCCUUGAUGACGACCAAAUUGAACAAGGCUUUGUUCUCACCUGUGUUGCUUAUCCCACUUCUGAUGUUGUUAUUGUCACCCACAAGGAGGAGGAGCUCGUUGCUUAAAUCUUAUCAUCACUUUUGUUAUUAACAUUCUAUUCUUCUGGUUUUUCUUUGACGAGUGUAAGAAAUUUAUACGUUUGUGUUAGCUGUAUAU